AUACUCACCUGGCAUGAGAGAUGCUAAGCGAUCGCCAAGGUGGCUCUCACAGUGUGAGGCUCAUACAUUGCACUUGGGAAACGUGGGAAACUCGACUGCAAUUUCUAAUGGGCGGGGCAGUUGGCCUGCA
rnacentral:snRNA from 1 species